GUUGUUUUUUAGAUUAGUUCUUAA
rnacentral:snRNA from 1 species